rnacentral:rRNA from 1 species
UGGGGGAAUAUUGCACAAUGGGGGGAAACCCUGAUGCAGCAACGCCGCGUGAGUGAUGACGGUCUUCGGAUUGUAAAGCUCUGUCUUUAGGGACGAUAAUGACAGUACCUGACUAAGAAGCCCCGGCUAACUACGUGCCAGCAGCCGCGGUAAUACGUAGGGGGCAAGCGUUAUCCGGAUUUACUGGGUGUAAAGGGAGCGUAGACGGAACGGCAAGUUUGAAGUGAAAUACCCGGGCUUAACUCGGGAACUGCUUUGAAAACUGUCGAUCUAGAGUGUCGGAGAGGUAAGUGGAAUUCCUGGUGUAGUAGUGAAAUGCGUAGAUAUCAGGAAGAACACCGGAGGCGAAGGCGGCUUACUGGACGAUAACUGACGUUGAGGCUCGAAAGCGUGGGGAGCAAACAGGAUUAGAUACCCUGGUAGU